ACGCUCGACACCUACGGGAGCCAGCAGUGGGGAAUAUUGCACAAUGGGGGAAACCCUGAUGCAGCGACGCCGCGUGAGCGAAGAAGUAUUUCGGUAUGUAAAGCUCUAUCAGCAGGGAAGAAAAUGACGGUACCUGACUAAGAAGCACCGGCUAAAUACGUGCCAGCAGCCGCGGUAAUCUGAGCGGGCUGGCAAGGC
rnacentral:rRNA from 1 species